rnacentral:rRNA from 1 species
GACGAACGCUGGCGGCGUGCCUAAUACAUGCAAGUAGAACGCUGAAGGAGGAGCUUGCUUCUCCGGACGAGUUGCGAACGGGUGAGUAACGCGUAGGUAACCUGCCUGGUAGCGGGGGAUAACUAUUGGAAACGAUAGCUAAUACCGCAUAAGAGUAGAUGUCGCAUGACAUUUGCUUAAAAGGUGCAACUGCACCACUACCAGAUGGACCUGCGUUGUAUUAGCUAGUUGGUGAGGUAACGGCUCACCAAGGCAACGAUACAUAGCCGACCUGAGAGGGGGAUCGGCCACACUGGGACUGAGACACGGCCCAGACUCCUACGGGAGGCAGCAGUAGGGAAUCUUCGGCAAUGGACGGAAGUCUGACCGAGCAACGCCGCGUGAGUGAAGAAGGUUUUCGGAUCGUAAAGCUCUGUUGUAAGAGAAGAACGAGUGUGAGAGUGGAAAGUUCACACUGUGACGGUAUCUUACCAGAAAGGGACGGCUAACUACGUG